GAUGAAGAACGCAGCGAAAUGCGAUAAGUAAUGUGAAUUGCAGAAUUCAGUGAAUCAUCGAAUCUUUGAACGCAUCUUGCGCUCCUUGGUAUUCUGAGGAGCAUGCCUGUUUGAGUGUCAUUAAAUUCUCAACUACACUGACUUUGAAUUGGUGUGGCUUGGAUUUGGGGGGAAAAUUGUUGUGGGCUUUUUGUAUAGUCUGCUCCCCUGAAAUUGAUUAGCGGUACUUUUGUGGAACUGUCUACAGGUGUGAUAAUUAUCUACAUCUUAGACAUCUGCUGGAAUGCUGCUUUCUAAACCUUACUUGUAUUGACAAUCUUGACCUCAAAUCAGGUAGGACUACCCGCUGAACUUAAGCAUAUCAAUAAGCGGAGG
rnacentral:misc_RNA from 1 species